AAGUAACUCACCAUUUAUACAAUUUUGAGAUUCUUGGACCGAAUUGAAAGAAAAGUUAUGGGGAAAUUUGAGAUGAAAACUAUUGGAGUUAUUAUAAUCACAGUGAUGAUCCUAUUAAAUUUUGCACAAGCCGAUGAAGCCGAUGGAUUUUUAUGUAAUGCGAAGUGUAAAAUCAAAUGUGAAGAACAACCAUUUCCCGAACAUUAUGCAAAAUGUAUGAAGGAUUGUCUAGCACAUUGCACUGAACUAUCUAAUCCUGUUUAUAAUUGUAUUACUGGUUGUCGCUUAAUGAAGUCAAUUGUCAUCAAAAAUGGUGUUGGUGAUCUUGUGAACAAUGGAAUGAAUACUUGCAUACAACAGUGUAAAGAAAUGUUAUAGUUUGUAGCAUCAAUUGAG